UGUUCUUUUUAUACAUAAAUUGAUUUGAAGAGCGCUUUGCGACCAGUCAUGGAUGCUCCGCAAUCCCCGUGUCGUCGUGUUAGAAUUGCGUCUCGCAGCCGCCUGACCGGUUCUUCGUCACAGAAUCCGGGCCGUCUCGCAAUCCGUUUCACUUGUUCUCCUUCGCAUGUCGUUUCUCGCCACUUUCCGGCCCCCGCCACCAAAUCUGGUUUCGUCAGUCUGCGUCGGGUCUCGAGGAUCUCGCUGGCAGUCUAGUUGCUGCCUGCGGUGCCGUGUUGCGUCUUGGAAGCUGAGAAAUGUGGGAAUUGAGUGUUCCAGUAAUUUUUUACAGAUGUUGAGCUUUUUGUGUAGUUGUCGUGCAGUUGUGAUUUUCUCAUGCCCUCGUGAAGUGCUUGAGGGUUGACAUUGGAAUUUCUUCAGGGAGAGGCCUUGAGGUCAUGAUUAAGGCGUAGGAUCACGGAGAUUUUCGAAGUGCAAUUUUUUAUUUGUGUUCAAAUAAAAUGGAUAUCUUUUUGGAAACCCUGAGUUGGAAGAGAGGGGGGAGAGUUUUGGAGGAUGUACCUUCCGUUUUGAGCAGUUCGGUGCUAAUUCUUAGGGUCUGGUAAGGAGAGAACGAGGAGGAUCGUCUCAUGACCUGUUGCUUCUUCUAGGUGAGGACUGUCUCUUGGCCUGGAAUUACAAAUUUUGAUCGUUGCAGUGAGAAGGCUUGGAAAAGAGUCACACAGGCUGCUUGAGACGGUGUUAAUCGUGAGCGUUCGCAGAGAAGCGUGCAGGUGGAAAACUGUCUGCGAAGGAGUGCAUUACUUUUCCAAUUUCAUAGCCGUAGUGUGCUAGGAUCGGGAUAUUUAUCCUUGUUGGCUAGGAGAGUUUGAAGGGCCCUAUUAUUAGGUUCUGAACCCUUUUCUUUUUGUCCUCUCCUGUCAUAGCUUCAAUCAAUACUCACCUACCCUGGAAAACUUCGAAGGCAAGAACUCCCUCCUCGUGAAGUCUCCUCUGCAGCUUUUGCACCUUGUCUCUCUUGGAACUUUGUCUACCUCAGUGAUUUUAGCAGUGUUGAUUGAUUCCAGCCUUGCUUACCCAAGUAGUAGAAAUGCACCGAGAGGUUUUGAGUCUCGGUCUUGUGUCAGCAUGACAGCCUAGUCGUUAGGAUGAAAAAUGUGGCAGGUGGAUUCUAGUCCAGACCUAAUGGGUGAAGUCUUGGACGCAGAACAUGAGAUGUGAAGCCUUGUGGUGCUGUGAAAAUCUUAUGCAGCUAUAUCCGCCUGGCCGUUGUUGUAUUACUGCUGCUGUUCUCAUCAAUAAUUUCCUGGGAGGAGAAGAGAAAUUUUUUUAGCUAUUUUAGCAAGGGGGAGGAGCAAGUUGCUUUUGAGUAUGGACCGUUCUUUGUAUGAACGACCUGAGAAGCGCGCCCGGCUAACGUUAGUUGAGGACAAUGUUUCCUGGGUUGACAUUUAUGAUGAAGAACAUCAGGUAGCGGUUAACAGUGGACACUUCGAACAAAUGGGAUUGGGAAGAGGAGUACCACCAGCUGCUAUGGGGAACAGUCCAGAAUCCUACAAUGGAUAUCCCAGGGUAUACUCUCCAGUAUGGCGGGACGAUGAUAAAGAUGGGCACUACAUGUUUGAGCUGGGAGAAAAUAUAACACCACGCUGUACUUUUGGUAGGGUGUUGGAGUGUUGGGACAGGGAGGUCCAGGAGUAUGUGGCUAUCAAGGUCAUUCGCAACGUUCAGAAGUACCGCGAUGCUGCGAUGAUUGAAAUUGAUGUGCUGCGCACACUUGCCAAGAAUGACAAAUUAGGCACACGACGAUGUGUGCAACUGAAGACUUGGUUUGACUAUCGAAACCAUGUCUGCAUUGUGUGUGAAAGGUUAGGGCCAAGUUUGUAUGAUUUUCUUCGAAAGAACAACUAUCGACCAUUUUUUGCUGAUCUUGUUCGUGAUUUUGGCCGCCAGUUAUUGGAGUCUGUGGCGUAUAUGCAUGAGCUAACCCUCAUUCACACCGAUCUUAAGCCUGAAAACAUCCUAUUGGUCUCUUCUGAGUACUUGAGGGUGCCAGAUUACAAGGCUUCAAAUACGGGAAAACACUUUAAGCGGGUACCAAAAACAAGUGAGAUUAAGCUUAUUGACUUUGGUAGUGCGAUCUUUGACAGCCAUUAUCACUGCUCAGUUGUCUCCACUCGCCAUUAUCGAGCACCAGAAGUUAUUCUAGGACUUGGCUGGACGUAUCCCUGCGACAUAUGGAGUGUCGGCUGCAUACUCGUGGAACUCUGCUCGGGUGAUGCAUUGUUUCAGACUCACGAGAAUUUGGAGCAUUUGGCUAUGAUGGAACGAGUCUUAGGUCCUAUUCCUGUACACAUGAUCAAGAGGGCAGAUCGACGACUAGAAAAGUACUUCAGAUAUGGAAGAGAGUUGAACUGGCCUGAAGGGACAGUAUCAAGGGAGAGUAUCCGAGCUGUGAGGAGGUUACCUAGCCUAAGGAACUUGAUCAUGCGCUAUGUAGACCACUCUGGGGGCCUUCUUAUUGAUCUGCUUCAAGGCUUGCUAAAGUUUGAACCAUCAGAACGACUCACGGCUAAAGAAGCACUUAAGCACCCCUUCUUUAAAGAGUCAAAUCGGCGGUUGUAAGACUCCUGCUAUCGACUGGGAACCCAAACCCCAAAAUCUGAGCAGCGUUGUUCCGUAGGAUUGUCGAAGAAUCGUCUUGUUUUAGCCGAAAGCUGCAGAGUAGGUAAUGCCGAGUGACAGAACGUUCUUUCCAUCGACAAUAGUUUGGCAUGGUUCGAAGAGGUGACUCCCACCGGACAUGCUCCUUAUUCAGUCACUUUCACUCUUUCCAGAAUUGCUCUACGCAAAGGACGCAUCCAUUUGUGUGGGCGCUGUUCAUUCCACAUGUUUCGCAACCUGGGUUUCGCGUGUUAGGUGAAACUGUAUAUGUUUUUUUGAACUCUUAUCCUCAUGAGGGCUGAGGCGGUAGCUUGGUAUCAUUCGAUCUCAAGGAAAUGGAAGCAUUUUCUCGAAGGCACCAAAACCUUAUUGAGAGGAUCUUGGUUACUUUAUACAUAUUGUCUUCUGGUGGCCCUCGUCUCAUAUCAUCAUUGCCAAUGAACAGGGCUAGGGUCAGGGUUUGGGUCCUCGCUUCAGCUGUAUAUUUUUAUUCCCGACAGGUCUUAAGAUUCUUCUCCUUCAAUGACGAAGUAUAUUCGAAAUCAGUGAAUCUGAGCUUGGAGACAAUAUUAUCUUAAAACGGCCACCCUUCGGCACGGGAUAGUACUUCUGUUCGCUCAGUGAAGAAGGUCUAUAAGCAGCAGCGGCCAGUGCAAACUCUUUACUUGCGACGCUAGAUGAGUGCACGCCGACUGGGACAAAUUGCGAACUGCCGUCCCAGAUCGGAUAGUUCUCUGUGACAUUUUUCAGCAGCCUUAUGUUCCCGAACCCAGUCCCUGGGUUCUAAGAGAAAAUCUGGCGGGAUAACGUUGUGUGUGAGGAGUUUUCGUUCAACCUUGUGCGAAUAAAAAGUGGUGCCAGAUUUAAGUUGGUAGCAUGCAGAGUACUUAUUCCUUUGACACACUUGCAUCAUUAACCUGAACGCUGUAGACUAGGAACUGAUCUGCAGAGCUGAUCUUCGUGCUCUUAUCUAUGAUUUGCCACAAAGAUUGCCCUACCUUUGACGUUCAAAACUUGGAAACAGCCAUCUAAUGAGUUUUACUCAUGAAGUGGGUAUUAUUCUCGCCUAUCAAUUUUCUACAUGUUCUCUCAA